rnacentral:rRNA from 1 species
AACACUAGAAAUAGGUGCUAAUACCGCAUAAGCGCACAGCUUCGCAUGAAGCGGUGUGAAAAACUCUGGUGGUAUACGAUGGUUCCGCGUCUGAUUAGCUAGUUGGUGGGGUAAUGGCCUACCAAGGCAACGAUCAGUAGCCGGCCUGAGAGGGUGAACGGCCACAUUGGGACUGAGACACGGCCCAAACUCCUACGGGAGGCAGCAG